rnacentral:misc_RNA from 1 species
AACCUAGCACACCUGCGGUGUGUACCUGCGGAAGGAUCAUUACCGAGUUUACAACUCCCAAACCCCUGUGAACAUACCUAUACGUUGCCUCGGCGGAUCAGCCCGCGCCCUGUAAAACGGGACGGCCCGCCCGAGGACCCUAAACUCUGUUUUUAGUGGAACUUCUGAGUAAAACAAACAAAUAAAUCAAAACUUUUAGCAACGGAUCU